rfam:Natranaerobius thermophilus JW/NM-WN-LF, complete genome.
AAGACCUUUAAAAUAGUCCAGUGAGACUGUUAAGGGAUAAUGAGGGCAUCUAUGGUGGCUACAUGUGUACAUAAUUUUGGGAGAGUACUCCAGUAUUAUGUAUACUUUGGAUAAGUUUGCUAAUAUUCCUGUCUCACUGAGAUAGGAAUUUUUUAU